UACGAAGGGGGCUAGCGUUGCUUGGAAUCACUGGGCGUAAAGCGCACGUAGGCGGAUCUUUAAGUCAGGGGUGAAAUCCCAAGGCUCAACCUUGGAACUGCCUUUGAUACUGGGGAUCUCGAGUCCGGAAGAGGUGAGUGGAACUGCGAGUGUAGAGGUGAAAUUCGUAGAUAUUCGCAAGAAUACCAGUGGCGAAGGCGGCUCACUGGUCCGGUACUGACGCUGAGGUGCGAAAGCGUGGGGAGCAAACAGG
rnacentral:rRNA from 1 species